rnacentral:rRNA from 1 species
CCUACGGGGGGCAGCAGUAGGGAAUCUUCCACAAUGGACGAAAGUCUGAUGGAGCAACGCCGCGUGAGUGAAGAAGGGUUUCGGCUCGUAAAGCUCUGUUGGUAGGGAGGAAAGAUAGAGGUAGUAACUGGCCUUUAUUUGACGGUAAUUACUUAGAAAGUCACGGCUAACUACGUGCCAGCAGCCGCGGUAAUACGUAGGUGGCAAGCGUUGUCCGGAUUUAUUGGGCGUAAAGCGAGUGCAGGCGGGUUAAUAAGUCUGGUUGGAAAGC